rnacentral:rRNA from 1 species
AUGGCGCGGCGGUGGGCGGCUGCGGCCCUGCUGUGCCUGGCCGUCUUGGCGGCGGCGGCGGCGGCGUCCGUGCUGGCGGCCGCAGUGGAGGGCGCGGUCACCUACGACCGGAAGGCGGUGCUCAUCAGCGGCGAGAGGAGGAUCCUCUUCUCCGGAUCCAUACAUUACCCCCGGAGCACCCCAGAGAUGUGGGAAGGGCUGAUUCAGAAGGCGAAAGACGGAGGCUUGGACGUGAUCCAGACCUACGUCUUCUGGAACGGGCACGAACCAACCCCCGGAAACUACAACUUCGAAGGGAGGUACGAUUUGGUCAGGUUCAUUAAGACGGCCCAGAAGGCCGGGCUGUUCGUGCAUCUCCGCAUCGGUCCCUACAUUUGCGGGGAGUGGAAUUUCGGCGGCUUUCCGGUCUGGCUGAAGUAUGUUCCGGGCAUCAGCUUCAGGACCGACAACGAGCCUUUCAAGGCGGCAAUGCAGGGGUUCACCGAGAAGAUUGUGGGCAUGAUGAAGAGUGAGGAGCUCUUUGCUUCCCAAGGUGGCCCUAUUAUCCUUUCUCAGAUUGAGAAUGAGUAUGGGCCAGAAGAGAAAGAGUUUGGGGCUGCUGGCAAGUCAUACAGUGACUGGGCGGCAAAGAUGGCCGUGGGAUUGGACACCGGUGUGCCGUGGGUGAUGUGCAAGCAGGAAGAUGCACCAGAUCCAGUGAUAAACGCAUGCAAUGGUUUCUACUGUGAUGCAUUUACACCGAACUCACCUUCCAAGCCUACGAUGUGGACUGAAGCUUGGACUGGUUGGUUUACCGAAUUUGGUGGGACCAUCCGUAAACGACCAGUUGAAGAUCUUUCAUUUGCUGUUGCUCGCUUUGUGCAGAAGGGUGGCUCUUUUAUCAACUACUACAUGUAUCAUGGUGGAACAAAUUUUGGGCGCACCGCUGGAGGUCCCUUCAUCACCACAAGCUAUGAUUAUGACGCCCCACUUGAUGAAUAUGGACUUGCAAGAGAACCAAAGUAUGGACAUCUUAAAGAACUUCAUAGAGCUAUUAAGUUAUGUGAGCCGGCAUUGGUUUCUGUUGAUCCAACUGUGACUUCCCUUGGAAGUAUGCAAGAGGCCCAUGUCUACCGAUCUCCAUCUGGUUGUGCAGCCUUUCUCGCAAACUAUAAUUCUAACUCUCAUGCAAAAGUUGUCUUCGACAAUGAGCAUUAUAGUCUUCCACCUUGGUCAAUCAGCAUCCUUCCUGAUUGCAGAACAGUUGUUUAUAACACUGCAACGGUUGGUGUUCAGACAUCUCAAAUGCAGAUGUGGUCCAAUGGGGCCUCUUCAAUGAUGUGGGAGAGGUAUGAUGAGGAGGUUGGUUCACUCGCAGCUGCUCCGUUGCUCACCACAACUGGUCUACUGGAACAGCUUAAUGUCACGAGAGACACCAGUGAUUAUCUUUGGUACAUGACCAGUGUGGAUGUAAGCCCCUCUGAGAAGUUUCUACAAGGUGGCAAGCCUUUGUCUCUCUCUGUGCAAUCUGCCGGCCAUGCCUUGCAUAUCUUUAUCAAUGGACAGCUACAAGGUUCUGCUUCUGGAACCAGGGAAGAUAAAAGAAUCUCAUACAAGGGCAAUGUUAACCUUCGUGCCGGUACUAACGAAAUUUCACUGCUGAGUGUUGCUUGUGGGCUACCGAAUAUCGGGGUUCAUUACGAGACAUGGAAUACUGGUGUCAAUGGUCCUGUUGUGCUUCAUGGUUUGGAUGAAGGUUCGCGAGAUCUGACCUGGCAGACAUGGACCUAUCAGGUUGGUCUGAAAGGUGAACAGAUGAACCUGAACUCCUUAGAAGGUGCAAGUUCAGUUGAAUGGAUGCAAGGAUCACUGAUAGCACAAAACCAAAUGCCAUUGGCAUGGUAUAGGGCAUACUUUGAUACUCCAAGUGGUGAUGAACCGCUGGCUCUGGAUAUGGGUAGCAUGGGUAAGGGACAAAUCUGGAUAAAUGGACAAAGCAUUGGACGGUACUCAUUAGCAUAUGCAACUGGGGACUGCAAAGAUUACAGUUACACGGGGUCAUUCCGGGCAACCAAAUGUCAAGCAGGUUGCGGUCAGCCGACACAACGUUGGUAUCAUGUGCCAAAAUCCUGGUUGCAGCCAUCUAGAAAUCUGUUAGUUGUUUUCGAGGAACUUGGCGGGGAUACUUCGAAGAUUUCCCUUGUGAAGAGAUCAGUCUCAAGUGUCUGUGCUGAUGUAUCAGAGUUUCAUCCAAGUAUCAAGAACUGGCAGACUGAGAGCUCAGGGGAAGCUAAGCCUGAGUUACGCAGGUCGAAGGUGCAUCUAAGAUGCGCACCUGGGCAGUCUAUUUCUGCCAUCAAGUUUGCAAGCUUCGGGACGCCCUCUGGGACUUGCGGAAGUUUCGAGCAAGGGGAGUGUCAUUCAACAAAGUCACAGACUGUUCUUGAGAAAUGCAUUGGGAAACAAAGAUGUGCCGUCGCCAUCUCCCCCGACAACUUCGGUGGAGACCCCUGCCCGAAUGUGAUGAAGAGGGUGGCGGUCGAGGCUGUGUGUUCUCCUGGUACAUAG